rnacentral:misc_RNA from 1 species
UCGAUAAUCGAUUGAGAGACCGUGAACCUGUAAACAGAUGAUACCGUGUUGGGCAGGCAUUAUGCCCGCCCAACUCGGGACCUCGCAUCGUGUCCGUGGCUGCCUUUGAGCAUUUCAGGCAUGAUUUGUGGGGGACGAACGAAACCCUGGCAUAGCCUGUGCCAAGGAACAUAUGUCAGGAUGGACGUUCGUCAAUGCCUCAGUGGUGGGGCGAUGUUUGCUCUCUAUC